rnacentral:rRNA from 1 species
UACGUAGGGGCAAGCGUUGUCCGGAUUUAUUGGGCGUAAAGAGCGUGUAGGCGGCCAGGUAGGUCAGCUGUGAAAACUCGAGGCUCAACCUCGAGACGUCGGUUGAAACCAUCUGGCUAGAGUCCGGAAGAGGAGAGUGGAAUUCCUGGUGUAGCGGUGAAAUGCGCAGAUAUCAGGAAGAACACCUAUGGCGAAGGCAGCUCUCUGGGACGGUACUGACGCUGAGACGCGAAAGCGUGGGGAGCGAACAGG